rnacentral:rRNA from 1 species
UACGGGGGGAGCAAGCGUUGUUCGGAUUUACUGGGCGUAAAGGGCGCGUAGGCGGCCACCGCAAGUCAAUUGUGAAAUCUCCGGGCUUAACUCUGAAAGGUCAACUGAUACUGCGGGGCUAGAGUGCGGAAGGGGCAACUGGAAUUCUCGGUGUAGCGGUGAAAUGCGUAGAUAUCGAGAGGAACACCUGCGGCGAAGGCGGGUUGCUGGGCCGACACUGACGCUGAUGCGCGAAAGCCAGGGGAGCGAACGGG